UAAAUAGUCAAAAAAAUAUAUAUAAAGAAUCAUAUAGAGAUAAGCUCUUCACAAAUAACGAUCUCUCGGUGUUUUUUUUUGGGAAAUUUGGAUUCAUACCAUUAAAAGAUCACUACUUUGGAUCCAUACCAUUACUAUCUCACUUAUAUGUGGGUCCACAUGAGUCAAUGAUAUGUGGGUCCAUGAUAUAUAUCUAAAGUUUAGAUCUUUUAAUGGUAUAGAUCCAAUUGUCCUUUUUUUUUGGCUUAGCACCAUAAAAAUCCCUCAAAAGCAUGCCCCGCCGCCCCGUCCAACCAGCCGGUCCAGCCCACAGUCCACGAGGACACGAUCCCCGACCUCAUAUCAGGUUCCCCUCCCCAUCCCGGAGAGCAAAAGCGCUUCUCUCGCUAGCGAGUUCGGCAGUAGAAACCCUAAAAAAAGACACCGCCCUCCCCUUCGCUAGCGGAACCGCCCUCCCCUCGCCGGGGUAGGGGUUUCGGGGGUAGACGCCCGCCAUGGACGCGUUCCGGAAACAGCUGGACGUGCUCAUGGGCGCCAACCGCAACGGCGACGUCGAGGAGGUGAGCCGCAACUACUACGACCGCGACGUCUGCCGCCUCUUCCUCGCCGGUCUCUGCCCACACGACCUCUUUCAGCUCACGAAAAUGGAUCUCGGUCCUUGUUCUAAGAUUCACUCUCUUCAACUGCGGAAAGAUUAUGAAGAAGCGAAAGCAAAGGGAACAGAAAAUUUUGAUAGAGAACUCGAGGAUAUGAUAGAAAGGCUCAUUGUGGAGUGUGACAGGAAAAUUCAGAGGGCCCUAAAACGGCUUGCAGAUGAUGAUGCCAAUGCUGCUAUUGCGAUAUCGGUCUCUGAGGUUACUCUGACGGAUGACAUACUGCAGCUGUCAAAACAGAUAAAGGAGAAAAUGGCAGAAGUUGAUGCCUUUGAUUUUGAAGGGAGAACUGAUGACAAAAUAAAGGCCCAGGAAGUAGUGGAAGAGCUAAGAGCUAAAAGAGCUGAUAUGCAGGCUACCCUCUUGCUUGAUGCUUUUAACAAGGACAGAGCUUCAUUAACUCAGCCUGCUCCACCUCAAGUGGCAGCAGUUCCACCACCAGCUCCACCUGAUGCUCGUACUCAAGAAAUUAUCAACGAAAAGCUUAAGAAAGCUGAAGAGCUUGGUGAACAAGGCAUGGUUGAUGAAGCUCAAAAAGCUUUGGAAGAGGCAGAAGCUCUGAAAAAGCUGGCGCCACGUUCAGAGCCACCUUCAGACCCUUCGAAAUAUACUGCUGCUGAUGUUCGAAUUACUGAUCAAAAAUUACGCCUCUGUGACAUAUGUGGAGCAUUUCUGAGUGUAUAUGACAAUGAUCGACGUCUUGCUGACCAUUUUGGUGGGAAAUUACACCUAGGCUACAUGCUGAUUCGUGAGAAACAGAAAGAACUUCAGGUGCUGAAUGUAAUGUACCAUUUUCUGCUUUAAAGAGUUACUCUGUUUUGGCCCUUUUGGCAUAUGUGAGUUUUCUUAUCUCAAGAGCCUCAAGGUUCUCACCUUCCCUGUAUAUUAUUUGAUUUCUCACAUUGCCGGGCACUAUGGUUAUUACGAUAGUCAUUACAGGAAUUAGUCCAUGUUGCGUGAUUGGAAUCUCAUGCGAUCAUCUUCAUACCCAUGGAUACAACAGUCACUGUCUGUUGGCAAAUGUAAGCAUAGGAGGGUGCAGACCAUGGUAUGAAAAAAAACAUGUUUACUUAAUUGUGACGAACUGCUCAUGUGUCUGCUUAGUAUUAUGUUGGGCAGAAGCCGGAGGUUUCUUUUCUACUGCCUGAGCCAUAUUAUGUAGACCAGGUGAUAAAUAAUACUGGUUAAGUUAUCCUGAAAGCUUUGCCAACAUUUGCUGUAAGUGACAACUUGUUCUAUUUUUUAUCUGCUACCUCCAUAAGUUUGCAAGUUAAACUUUGCUGAAGCAGCCUUGCCUGUAAAGUAUGACUCCCCUUUCUCUUGGAACGUUGUCGCUGACUUCAUGUAUGGCAAAAUAUCAUCAUUUCUACUGUCAAUAAAUAAAAUACACUAUGCCACCUUGCAGGAGCAGAGAAAUAAAAGGAGACCGGGCAAAGCUGAAGAUGAUAGACGAUCAAGAGAGCACAGCAAGGAUCGCAACGGCCGGUCGUCCAGGGAUAGAGAACCAGAAAGGAGAGACAGGGUUGAGUCUCGAGAUGGUAGAAGAGAUUAUGAAAGGGAUCGUGAUAGACGUCAUGAUAGGGACAGGCGCCAUGACCGUGAUCGGGAUAGGGAUUAUGACCGCUCCCGUGGACAUGAUUCAAGGAGGAGAGAGCGUUCACGCUCCAGGGAGCGCAGCAGGCGCCACGAGAGAUACUAAAUGUUACACCAUGCCUGACAGAUUUAGGAGUACUGGCGGCGUCUGUUCAAGAUAUGGUUUGAGCUUGUGCUUCGUAUCUUCUGAAGACCGGUCUACUUGACGCUAAAUUCGCAUGGAGUGUUAAGCAUUUAUUAAACGCAUCUGGAAUCAAAUGAAGUUGUACUUGCGAACGGCUUCACUUAAAAUUCGCGCCAUUUCUAAUAUUGUAAUAAGCUGUGCUUGAACCUUAGCUGUCUCUGUGUACUCGACGUACCACUCGCUCCCACAAAUAGCUUCGAACAUCCUGUACCUGAAACAUGACGCUGUUUGGUGGAGGUGGAGCUGUAAGUGUUCUUUUGCACAAUUCAUUAUAAAAAUCCCAAAUCUGAGUACUAGGAAA